rnacentral:rRNA from 1 species
GGGAAAACCCGGGGUUUAAUACCAGGAAUAUGCCCCCCUCCCCCCUGGUGGAGGUGGUUAAAAGGAAGGUUUCUGGCUUCCGGCAUCGGGGAUUGGCCCCGCGACCCCUUUAGCUUUGUUGGUGAAGGUAACGGCUCACCCAAGGCUGCGAAGGGUAGCUGGUCUGAGAGGACGAUCAGCCCACACUGGGACUGAGACACCGGCCCAGACUCUUACGGGAGGCAGCAGUGGGGAAUCUUGCGCAAUGCGCGAAAGCGUGACGCAGCAACGCCGCGUGGGGGAAGAAGGCCUUCGGGUUGUAAACCCCUUUCAGUUGGGACGAAGGUCGGGCGGUGAAUAGCCGUUCCGGCUGACGGUACCUUCACAAGAAGCCCCGGCUAACUACGUGCCAGCAGCCGCGGUAAUACGUAGGGGGCAAGCGUUGUCCGGAAUCAUUGGGCGUAAAGAGCGUGUAGGCGGCCCGGUAAGUCCGCUGUGAAAGUCGAGGGCUCAACCCUCGAAUGCCGGCGGAUACUGUCGGGCUAGAGUCCGGAAGAGGCGAGUGGAAUUCCUGGUGUAGCGGUGAAAUGCGCAGAUAUCGGGAGGAACACCAGUAGCGAAGGCGGCUCGCUGGGCCAUUCCUGACGCUGAGACGCGAAAGCUAGGGGAGCGAACAGGAUUAGAUACCCUGGUAGUCCUAGCCGUAAACGAUGAACACUAGGUGUGGGGGGAGUCGAAUCCCUCUGUGCCGCAGCUAACGCGAUAAGUGUUCCGCCUGGGGAGUACAGCCGCAAGGCUAAAACUCAAAAGAAUUGACGGGGGCCCGCACAAGCAGCGGAGCAUGUUCUUUAAUUCGAUGCAACGCGAAGAACCUUACCUGGGCUUGACAUGGUGCUGCAAGCGCACGGAAAACGUGUGACCUUCGAGGGUGCACCACAGAUGCUGCAUGGCUGUCGUCAGCUCGUGUCGUGAGAUGUUGGGUUAAGUCCCGCAACGAGCGCAACCC